UAAAGCAAGCUAAAGAAAGCACGGCAGUUCGUAACUUCGAAACCGAAAAAAUCGAACCGCGGUUCGGUAAUUCUUGUUAUUCGGAUUAACUCACUGAUUUGACGUAUUUUGGGUUUUAUUACCCACCACGUGAGGCAAACCGUUUAGCUAUUUGACAGCAGUUUGCCAAAUUGAGGAAAUAUAUUCGUUUAAUACUUUUACAUAUGUGGAAAAAAAAUGUGACAGGAUUUAUUUGAGUGCCCUGUGACAAAAUCUGUGGAUUAUAUUUUUACACAAUCGUACCAGGAAAUGUGGAUUAUUUCAGGAUUAUUAAAAAAUAUUGGAUUACCUUGCUUUUCUAUGUUGAAGCGGCAAAAUAUAAAAAAGAGUGAAGGAUCCCGUAACGAUGCAAAGAAGUAAUUGUAACAGGAUCAACAAAAACAGAUACUAAGAAGUGAAGCGGAUAUUAUUUCUCUUCUUUGAACUUCAAAAUCGUAUUAUCCACAGAAAUCGAACCCUGAAUAAGAGAUGGCAUCAGAUAUGAAAACAGAUGUCUUGUCAGCUUCUCAGGUAAAACAAUCAUUUGGAAAUAGGUUUGCAAAAAGUAACAUUUGCGAUCAAUGAUAAUCACUUUUUCUAACAUUUAUUCUUAAAAUAAUUCAUCUCCUUUCUUUUCCCCUAAAUAUUCCGCCGUUAAAAAUUUACAUUCUAUUCGCAAAUGAGGGCUUGUGACGCACCGGCGACUCCAAUCUACAGAAAAAAUUUCUUGUAGCAAUUUCAUAUUUGCAAAUUGUGUAACGGCGCAAGUGAUUAUAAAACAGGAGUAAUGGAUAAAUAACGUUGGAGAAUUCGCUAUUAAACUUUAAUGGGGAAUGCCGAUAUACACGUUAGUUACGCUUUCUUUUUUUUUUUUCUUUUUUUUUAACGGGCCGAAAGCAAAUUAAACACAGGCGUUUCAAUUUCACGGAAACAGCUCCGACCGCACCCGCAAUUUAAAAAUAAAUGAAACUCAAAACAGUUGGGGAUUAUGGGAGAAGAAAAAAAUGGUACGGUGGCAGGUCUGUCCGUAUUAAAAAUAAUAACCCUCGAGGCGUGAACAAAUCAUGGAACACAAACCGUUUUACUACAAGUCGCAAAUUUAUAAUAUCGCGUCACGUUGUUCAAUUAUAAAACAGGGCGUAGGGGAUGGAUGUAGGCUCGAACCAAUUGGGUGGGGUCCAAAUGAGCCUUAAGUAUUCACACUCACAUAAAAAUGAAAGUUGUGGAAACACGGGAUGAGAAAAAAUAAUAAUAAAUAAAGUGAAAGAAAAGAAGUGCUGCUGAUCUGCCGGUAGUAACAGGAUUGCUUUCUUUAAAAAUAAAUGAAUAGGAAUGAAAAGGAAGGAAAAAGAGCAGUUACGGCGUCGUGGGUUCGACUAAAAUGAGAUGCGAUAAGAGAGAAAUGAGGUAGGAAUAGGGAAAUGAAAGUUUUCGGAAAAUUCUGGGGGGAAUUCAUUAGAUGCCAACAAUAUUAAGAAGAUUUUCAGUGAAAGAAUAAUUAUAUAUAUAAAAGAAAAUGUUCAUAGCAGAACGGUUAAAAAAUAUCAGAAGGCAAUUUUAAAAAUUGCUUUAUUAUUUGUAUCUACAAGAUGGCAAAACAAGGUAAGUUCUUGAUUAUGAUUGAAUCCAGAUUCGCUUUCUUAUUUAUUUUGAUGGAUUUCAAAAACUAUACCAAAGUAUAUUUUACAAUUCUUAGUUCACAGUUUGUGAUUUGUCAUAGAAGUGAUGAUGCGACUUUCUCAUUUUUCACCACUCAUUAACACAGAAUAUGUGCAACUAUUUUACAUAAAUAUUGUGUAUUUUUUAUGCAGAUAAAUAAAAGAUUUUUUAAAAAUAUUUGUUUUAGCUGAAUUGUGAAUAUUAACGAAAUUUUCAAAUACGAAAUAAUGAAAUAAGCCGACGACAUAUCAAAUUAGACUGAAAAAAAGAAAGAGAAAA